CCCCGAUCCUGCCAUCUGUUAUCCCAAGGACUCGGGUUUUGAUUACCUUUUUGUUUGCUUUUCUGAUAAGUGUUUUGUUUAUCCUCUGUGCCUGGCAUGUGCUUCCAGAGGUGUUUUGGAAGCCCCUUGCUCUCUUUGUAUGUGGUUUUCUCCUGAAGAACUAUUUACCACCACGACACUGGCAAAAACUAAUCCUCUGGCUAUGGCUGGACUGGGGAAAUAUAAUGAAAUCAGGCCAGUGGCAAAGCAUGAGUGCUCCAUGCUGUGGUUGGCUACCGAAGCUGAGCUUGUCAGUCCUUGAGAGGUUGAGAAGUCGAGAAGUCAGCUGAGAAAUUGACAGUGUCAUCAAGACCAAGUCCUGAAGGCCUGGCCAAGAGGAUUUGUCUGUCACCUGAAAGACUGAGCUCGUGGACUGUGUCUCGUGGUGGGAACGAACAGACUCGGCAGUAUUUCCCUGGAAAAAGCGAUCUUCCUGAAGACAGCAAUCCCUCUGCUGCUCAUUGGGCCAUUUGGCACAUCUACAUCCUCUCCUGAUCCUGACAAAAUGUCACUUCUCUCUGCUCAGUUUUCUACUGACUCAUCCACCUUUUCAGUUGUAUUUGUGUUCUUCUUAAUGAAAAAUAAAAAAAAAAAAAAGAAGAAAAUAGAAAAAGCUGUUUCUUUUUAAUGAAAUUUCUUGUAUGAGGACAGCAAAUCUCAAAUUGUUUCAUUGAUCUUCUUUGUUUUGUUUUAUUACUUAAACAUUAAAAAUGAAAUAGAUAAGACAUAAA